rnacentral:rRNA from 1 species
ACGAACGCUGGCGGCGCGCCUAACACAUGCAAGUCGAACGAGAGAUGAGGAGCUUGCUCUUCAAAUCGAGUGGCGAACGGGUGAGUAACGCGUGAGGAACCUGCCUCAAAGAGGGGGACAACAGUUGGAAACGACUGCUAAUACCGCAUAAGCCCACAGCUCGGCAUCGAGCAGAGGGAAAAGGAGCAAUCCGCUUUGAGAUGGCCUCGCGUCCGAUUAGCUAGUUGGUGAGGUAACGGCCCACCAAGGCGACGAUCGGUAGCCGGACUGAGAGGUUGAACGGCCACAUUGGGACUGAGACACGGCCCAGACUCCUACGGGAGGCAGCAGUGGGGAAUAUUGCACAAUGGGGGAAACCCUGAUGCAGCGACGCCGCGUGGAGGAAGAAGGUCUUCGGAUUGUAAACUCCUGUUGUUGAGGAAGAUAAUGACGGUACUCAACAAGGAAGUGACGGCUAACUACGUGCCAGCAGCCGCGGUAAAACGUAGGUCACAAGCGUUGUCCGGAAUUACUGGGUGUAAAGGGAGCGCAGGCGGGAGAACAAGUUGGAAGUGAAAUCCAUGGGCUCAACCCAUGAACUGCUUUCAAAACUGUUUUUCUUGAGUAGUGCAGAGGUAGGCGGAAUUCCCGGUGUAGCGGUGGAAUGCGUAGAUAUCGGGAGGAACACCAGUGGCGAAGGCGGCCUACUGGGCACCAACUGACGCUGAGGCUCGAAAGUGUGGGUAGCAAACAGGAUUAGAUACCCUGGUAGUCCACACCGUAAACGAUGAUUACUAGGUGUUGGAGGAUUGACCCCUUCAGUGCCGUAGUUAACACAAUAAGUAAUCCACCUGGGGAGUACGACCGCAAGGUUGAAACUCAAAGGAAUUGACGGGGGCCCGCACAAGCAGUGGAGUAUGUGGUUUAAUUCGACGCAGCGCGAAGAACCUUACCAAGUCUUGACAUCCCUUGACGAUGCUGGAAACAGUAUUUCUCUUCGGAGCAAGGAGACAGGUGGUGCAUGGUUGUCGUCAGCUCGUGUCGUGAGAUGUUGGGUUAAGUCCCGCAACGAGCGCAACCCCUGUACUUAGUUGCCAGCAUGUAGAGAUGGGAACUCUAAGUAGACUGCCGCGAAUAACGCGGAGGAAGGUGGGGAUGACGUCAAAUCAUCAUGCCCCUUAUGACCUGGGCUACACACGUGCUACAAUGGCGUAAACAAAGGGAAGCAAACCUGCGAGGGUAAGCAAAUCUCAAAAAUAACGUCUCAGUUCGGAUUGUAGUCUGCAACUCGACUACAUGAAGCUGGAAUCGCUAGUAAUCGCGAAUCAGCAUGUCGCGGUGAAUACGUUCCCGGGCCUUGUACACACCGCCCGUCACACCAUGGGAGUCGGUAACACCCGAAGUCAGUAGCCUAACCGCAAGGAGGGCGCUGCCGAAGGUGGGAUUGAUGACUGGGGUG